GCGGGACACGUGGUAUCCUGUCUGAAUAUGGGGGGACCAUCCUCCAAGGCUAAAUACUCCUGACUGACCGAUAGUGAACCAGUACCGUGAGGGAAAGGCGAAAAGAACCCCGGCGAGGGGAGUGAAAAAGAACCUGAAACCGUGUACGUACAAGCAGUGGGAGCCUCUUAAUGGGGUGACUGCGUACCUUUUGUAUAAUGGGUCAGCGACUUAUAUUCUGUAGCAAGGUUAACCGAAUAGGGGAGCCGAAGGGAAACCGAGUCUUAACUGGGCGUUAAGUUGCAGGGUAUAGACCCGAAACCCGGUGAUCUAGCCAUGGGCAGGUUGAAGGUUGGGUAACACUAACUGGAGGACCGAACCGACUAAUGUUGAAAAAUUAGCGGAUGACUUGUGGCUGGGGGUGAAAGGCCAAUCAAACCGGGAGAUAGCUGGUUCUCCCCGAAAGCUAUUUAGGUAGCGCCUCGUGAAUUCAUCUCCGGGGGUAGAGCACUGUUUCGGCAAGGGGGUCAUCCCGACUUACCAACCCGAUGCAAACUGCGAAUACCGGAGAAUGUUAUCACGGGAGACACACGGCGGGUGCUAACGUCCGUCGUGAAGAGGGAAACAACCCAGACCGCCAGCUAAGGUCCCAAAGUCAUGGUUAAGUGGGAAACGAUGUGGGAAGGCCCAGACAGCCAGGAUGUUGGCUUAGAAGCAGCCAUCAUUUAAAGAAAGCGUAAUAGCUCACUGGUCGAGUCGGCCUGCGCGGAAGAUGUAACGGGGCUAAACCAUGCACCGAAGCUGCGGCAGCGACACUAUGUGUUGUUGGGUAGGGGAGCGUUCUGUAAGCCUGUGAAGGUGGCCUGUGAGGGUUGCUGGAGGUAUCAGAAGUGCGAAUGCUGACAUAAGUAACGAUAAAGCGGGUGAAAAGCCCGCUCGCCGGAAGACCAAGGGUUCCUGUCCAACGUUAAUCGGGGCAGGGUGAGUCGACCCCUAAGGCGAGGCCGAAAGGCGUAGUCGAUGGGAAACAGGUUAAUAUUCCUGUACUUGGUGUUACUGCGAAGGGGGGACGGAGAAGGCUAUGUUGGCCGGGCGACGGUUGUCCCGGUUUAAGCGUGUAGGCUGGUUUUCCAGGCAAAUCCGGAAAACCAAGGCUGAGGCGUGAUGACGAGGCACUACGGUGCUGAAGCGACAAAUGCCCUGCUUCCAGGAAAAGCC
rnacentral:rRNA from 1 species